rnacentral:rRNA from 1 species
CCUACGGGAGGCAGCAGUGAGGAAUAUUGGUCAAUGGCCGGAAGGCUGAACCAGCCAAGCCGCGUGAAGGACGAAGGUGCCAAGCAUUGUAAACCUCUUUUGUCAGGGAGCAACGCCGGCUACGUGUAGCCGGACUGAGAGUACCUGAAGAAAAAGCAUGGGCUAACUCGGUGCCAGCAGCCGCGGGAAUACGGAGGAUGCGAGCGGUGUCCGGAUUUAUUGGGUUAAACGGGUGCGUAGGCGGAAUGCCAAGUCAGCGGUAAAAUCGCGGGGCUCAAUCGCGCUCAGCCGUUGAAACUGGCGUUCUUGAGUGGGCGAGAAGUAUGCGGAAUGCGUGGUGUAGCGGUGAAAUGCAUAGAUAUCACGCAGAACUCCGAUUGCGAAGGCAGCAUACCGGCGCCCGACUGACGCUGAAGCACGAAAGCGUGGGUAUCGAACAGGAUUAGAUACCCUAGUAGUC